GUUUCCUGUAAGAUAUUCCCUUCUUGCUGUGCAUGGACUUAACUACUGCAAGUAAAAUAUAUUUACAUCUAUUGUUCUUGAAUAGAUCUGCUUCAGAGUUUGUUUUUAAGUUGUAUCCUUCCGGUCUGAUUAUUGCAUUUCUUUUCCUUUCUAGUGCCAAGGUCACAGCCAAAAGUUGUCUCCGAUGAAGAUCUGACUGCAACUGAGCAAGCUGCUCAUGAAGAGAGGUCUAAAUGAAACAGUCCCUCUGAUGACGCCACAAAUCUGGGAAUGAAGAACUUCUUCGACCUGAUUGGAAAUGGCAUUGCGGAGCUGAAACUUAACUGGAGGAAACAUAGCUCCCGAAGAAGGAAAUAUAAUGCACUUUAAAGAUCUGACUUCUGGUGAAAAAUUCAAGCCUAGAGAAAACUUGUCCGCUUUGUUCAGAAGAAUGGGUUGGACAAUUUUCUUCAGUUCCACAGGAUAUCUGAGUGCCAUGCUGAGCUUGAUCUCUGCAGCAUGCUCUGUGCUUCUCAUCUCUUCCUGAUGCACUGCAUGGUCAGCUCUUUAAAUGCAAGCUCCCUGAAGGGCCAUCUUCAGCACUACCCAUUGCAUAGUCCUAUAUUGCUGAUACUGAACAGCAGUUCCUACCAGCUCUAUGGUAGAUAUUAUCCUGAAGGGGAGGAUAAAGAAACUGGCCACCAAGAUGGUAAUCACUAGUGGAAAUGAAGAAGAUAAAGGCAGUCAAGAAAAGGAAAGCAAAGAAGAAACCAUCUUGGCAAUGCUUGGAAUUAUUGGGACAAUUCUGAACCUCAUUGUGAUCAUUUUUGUGUACAUUUACACAACGUUGUAAACUAGCAGGCAUGCAAAUAGAACAGAUAAAACGGCCAUUAAGAGUGACAACAAACAUUGCUGACUAUUGACAAGUUGUUUAAUCAGAAUUGACUCUGUAUUAUAUUAACACAUCAUAAAAGCACUGCCUGCAGGCAGCGAAGGCUGAAGCACAAUUAAUUUAACAAGACUUCUUCACGCAGUAACAAGCUAAACUCUUCUGUCCUGCCCUCUUCCUUUCGCUUUGGUUUUCGGUUUGGGGGAAACAUGACUGCAAUUAUGUAAGUUGUAGCUUUGAAGAAAUCCACCCGGGUUAUGUUAUUUUAACACAAUUUAAAAAGAGGGGAAAAAAAAGAAAAAAAAAAAAAAGAAACUGUACACUAUAUACAAUUAAAAAUGUAUACUGUAUACCUGCAAAGAUGGAGCUCUAUGAUAGCUACAUAGCACAGAUCACGUGUCCGUUAGGUCAAAUGAUAUUUUUUCUCUUGGUUUAUGCUUUUACUUACAUCGAAUCUGACAGGCUUUUUGUUUAGAAUGAACAUAUGGUGCAAUCAUGAAAAAAAAAAAAAACCAACAAAAAAACCAAUUCUAUUGAGCAAGAUCUGCCUAAAACUGAUGCGAUGUUGGGAGAAAUGUGGUAUGUGGUUAUUUUAACUUUCUCAUUUGCUUAACAUCUGUGUCUGUUCAUACCAAUGUUUAUAAAUAUAUAUUUUUAAUAAAUGUGCUAUAUUUUUAGCA
ensembl:lncRNA